AUUGACCGCUGGCGGCAGGCCUAACACAUGCAAGUCGAACGAGUGGCGGACGGGUGAGUAAUGUCUGGGAAACUGCCUGAUGGAGGGGGAUAACUACUGGAAACGGUAGCUAAUACCGCAUACCAUCGGAUGUGCCCAGAUGGGAUUAGCGAGUAGGUGGGGUAAAGGCUCACCUAGGCGACGAUCCCUAGCUGGUCUGAGAGGAUGACCAGACACACGGGAACUGAGACACGGUCCAGACUCCUACGGGAGGCAGCAGUGGGGAAUAUUGCACAAUGGGCGCAAGCCGGAUGCAGCCAGGCCGCGGGUAUGAAGAAGGCCUUCGGGUUGUAAAGUACUUUCAGCGGGGAGGCGUUACCCGCAGAAGAAGCACCGGCUAACUCCGUGCCAGCCGCCGCGGUAAUUC
rnacentral:rRNA from 1 species